rnacentral:rRNA from 1 species
ACGCUUUUCGGAGUGUAAACCGCUUUUCUCGGGGACGAUGGAGGACGGUCCCCGAGGAAUAAGGCCCGGUUAACUACGUGCCAGCAGCCGCGGUAAUACGUAGGGGCCGAGCGUUGUCCGGAGUUAUUGGGCGUAAAGCGCGCGCAGGCGGCUUCGCGCUUCCGACGUAAAACCCCCCGGCUUACCCGGGGAGGGUCGCUGGGUCCGGCGAGGCUUGAGGGCGGGAGAGGGUGGUGGAAUUCCCGGUGUAGGGGUGAAAUGCGUAAAGAUCGGGAGGAACACCUGUGGCGAAGGCGGCCACCUGGCCCGACCCUGACGCUGAGGCGCGAAGGCGUGGGGAGCGAACGGAAUUAGAUACCUCGGUAGUCCACGCAGUAAACGAUGCAGACUAGGCGUAGGUGGACUUGACCCCAUCUGUGCCGGAGCUAACGCGGUAAGUCUGCCGCGCUGGGGAGUACGGCCGCAAGGCUAU